rnacentral:rRNA from 1 species
AGAGGGUUUGAUCCUGGCUCAGAACGAACGCUGGCGGCAGGCCUAACACAUGCAAGUCGAGCGCACCUUCGGGUGAGCGGCGGACGGGUGAGUAACGCGUGGGAAUAUGCCCUUCUCUACGGAAUAGCCUCGGGAAACUGAGAGUAAUACCGUAUACGCCCUUCGGGGGAAAGAUUUAUCGGUGAAGGAUUAGCCCGCGUUGGAUUAGGUAGUUGGUGGGGUAAAAGCCUACCAAGCCGACGAUCCAUAGCUGGUUUGAGAGGAUGAUCAGCCACACUGGGACUGAGACACGGCCCAGACUCCUACGGGAGGCAGCAGUGGGGAAUCUUAGACAAUGGGGGAAACCCUGAUCUAGCCAUGCCGCGUGAGUGACGAAGGCCUUAGGGUCGUAAAGCUCUUUCGCCAGGGAAGAUAAUGACGGUACCUGGUAAAGAAACCCCGGCUAACUCCGUGCCAGCAAGCCGCGGUUAAUUACGGAGGGGGUUAGCGUUGUUCGGAAUUACUGGGCGUAAAGCGCACGUAGGCGGACUUAUUAAGUUAGGGGUGGAAAUCCCAAGGGGCUCAACCCUGGGAACUGCCUCUUAAUACUGGGUAGUCUUUGAGUUCGAGAGAGGUGAGUGGAAUUCCGAGUGGUAGAGGUGAAAUUCCUU